rnacentral:tRNA from 1 species
GGGGUUGUGGCUCAGUGGUAGAGCACUUGCCUAGCAUGUGCUCUGGGUUCGAUCCUCAGCACCA